CCUACGGGAGGCAGCAGUGAGGAAUAUUGGUCAAUGGGCGCGAGCCUGAACCAGCCAAGUAGCGUGAAGGAUGACUGCCCUACGGGUUGUAAACGUCUUUUAUAAAGGAAUAAAGUGAGGCACGUGUGCCUUUUUGUAUGUACUUUAUGAAUAAGGAUAGGCUAACUCCGGUCCAUCAGACGCGGUACUACGAAGGUUGCAAGCGUUGUCCGGGUUUGUUUGGGGUAAAGGGAAAGCAGGGGGUCUUUUAAGUCAGUUGUGAAAGUCUUCGGCUUAACCGGAGUAGUGCAUUGGAGACUGGGAGACUUGAGUGCAGUAGAGGUAAGUGGAAUUCCAUGUGUAGCGGUGAAAUGCGUAGAUAUAUGGAAGAACACCAGUGGCGAAGGCAGCUUACUGGUCUGUAACUGACGCUGAGGUUCGAAAGCGUGGGUAGCAAACAGGAUUAGAUACCCCAGUAGUC
rnacentral:rRNA from 1 species